CCUACGGGUGGCAGCAGUGGGGGAUAUUGCACAAUGGGCGCAACCCUGAUGCAGCGACGCCGCGUGAGUGAAGAAGUAUUUCGGUAUGUAAAGCUCUAUCAGCAGGGAAGAAAAUGACAGUACCUGACCAAGAAGCCCCGGCUAACUUCGCGCCAGCAGCCGCGGGAACACUUAGGGGGCAAGCGUUAUCCGGAUUUCCUGGGUGUAAAGGGAGCGUAGGCGGUUAUGUAAGUCUGGAGUGAAAGCCCGGGGCCCAACCCCGGGACUGCUUUGGAAACUGUGUAACUGGAGUACUGGAGGGGCAGGCGGAAUUCCUGGUGUAGCGGUGAAAUGCGUAGAUAUCAGGAGGAACACCGGCGGCGAAGGCGGCCUGCUGGACUAAAACUGACGUUGAGGCUCGAAAGCGUGGGGAGCAAACAGGAUUAGAUACCCGGGUAGUC
rnacentral:rRNA from 1 species